UUAUAGUGACCCGUCGUCGGUGCCCGAAAGGGACCAGAGGGAAUGCGGUGAGACGGGUUCGUCAACUCCGCGGCUGCCCCCGCAACUGUGAGCGGAGAGCUUGAUCCCAUCAUGCCACUGGAGCGAUCCGGGAAGGCGGGAGAGAGCGUCUGAUCCGCGAGCCAGGAGACCUGCCGGCGGCCAUGUGAAAACG
rnacentral:ncRNA from 18 species